rnacentral:rRNA from 1 species
GACGAACGCUGGCGGCGUGCUUAACACAUGCAAGUCGAACGGUAAGGCCCUUCGGGGUACACGAGUGGCGAACGGGUGAGUAACACGUGGGUGAUCUGCCCUGCACUUCGGGAUAAGCCUGGGAAACUGGGUCUAAUACCGGAUAGGACCCUGGGAUGCAUGUCCUGGGGUGGAAAGCUUUUGCGGUGUGGGAUGGGCCCGCGGCCUAUCAGCUUGUUGGUGGGGUGAUGGCCUACCAAGGCGACGACGGGUAGCCGGCCUGAGAGGGUGACCGGCCACACUGGGACUGAGAUACGGCCCAGACUCCUACGGGAGGCAGCAGUGGGGAAUAUUGCACAAUGGGCGCAGCCUGAUGCAGCGACGCCGCGUGAGGGAUGACGGCCUUCGGGUUGUAAACCUCUUUCAGCACCGACGAAGCGCAAGUGACGGUAGGUGCAGAAGAAGGACCGGCCAACUACGUGCCAGCAGCCGCAGUAA